ensembl:lncRNA
CUGAGCUUUCUAUUUCUAGACAAAUAUGCCCUACAAAUCAGAAAGCUAAUUUGCUGUUUGUUAGCAAAUGCCAGAUGUUAUACUGCAGCUCAGCAGAAGAAAUCUGUGGUUUUCCACACAACUUCUGACAACUCCGACAAUCCAUUUUGAGGAAUGAACUCUCUGUAACAGUGAUUGGAAGACUACAGACAGAAGAACAGGCUGCAAAUGAAAAUCAAGGGCCAAACUUGCUGGCAGAUUCUGAACAUGUGUUUCCUUUUGUGUGAAGCUUCAGUCUUUGAUUGGAAAAAUCUACACCAUGGUCUUUUUAGUGAUGCUAGU